rfam:Oryza glumipatula chromosome 1, whole genome shotgun sequence.
AAAAAAACAAACUCUGCGUUUCCGUGUCCAACGUUUGACAAUCCAUUUUAUUUAAAAAAAAUUAUGAAAAAAAUUAAAAAGACAAGUCAUGCAUAAAGUAUUAAUCAUGUUUUAUCAUCUAACAACAAGGAAAAUACUAAUUAUAAAAAAAUUUCAUAUAAGACGGAUGGUCAAACGUUGGACACGGAAACCCAGAGUUUGUCUUUUU